rnacentral:rRNA from 1 species
GACGAACGCUGGCGGCGUGCCUAAUACAUGCAAGUCGAGCGGAUGACGGAGGAGCUUGCUCCUCCUGAUUCAGCGGCGGACGGGUGAGUAACACGUGGGCAACCUGCCCUGUAGAUUGGGAUAACUCCGGGAAACCGGGGCUAAUACCGAAUAAUCCUUCGGACCUCAUGGUCCGACGUUGAAAGACGGUUUCGGCUGUAACUACAGGCUGGGCCCGCGGCGCAUUAGCUAGUUGGUGAGGUAACGGCUCACCAAGGCCACGAUGCGUAGCCGACCUGAGAGGGUGAUCGGCCACACUGGGACUGAGACACGGCCCAGACUCCUACGGGAGGCAGCAGUAGGGAAUCUUCCACAAUGGACGAAAGUCUGAUGGAGCAACGCCGCGUGAGUGAAGAAGGUUCUCGGAUCGUAAAACUCUGUUGUGAGGGAAGAACAAGUACCGGAGUAACUGCCGGUGCCUUGACGGUACCUCAUUAGAAAGCCACGGCUAACUACGUGCCAGCAGCAGCCGCGG